GCGAGCGCAUGUAGAUGCGGCCCACGCAAUUUUCCCACGCAAUCCACGUGCGGUGCAUGGACGGCAGUCCAUAAGGAUCCAUGUGGAUCAGACGGCCAUUUUUUCUUAGUUUCGCGCGGUCCAUCAUGGAUCGAAGGGCGUUUCAGGAUGGUUUCUCAUAGUCUGUAGGGAUUUUCGUGGACCAAAUGCGUGAUCAGACAUUCCAGUAAGCUUGCGGUCAAGAUCCAAUACAUUAGAGGCAUGUUUGGAUGAUCUGAGAAGUUCCUAAUUUGCAUUGGAGUUGGGAUUGGAUCGAUCUAAGGUCUUUAAGAGACCUUGUUGACAAAAUAGAGACGGUGUGGCUUUUGGUUGUUCGAUAGAGGAUCCAGGGAAGCAAC
rnacentral:lncRNA from 1 species